AUCCUUCUAUAAAAUUCUGGCUAUAUGUGCAUUGCCUUAUUGGUUCUAAUUUAGUUGUGCUGGUAUAUUUGGGUUCCUAUAGGCCAAGUUGUUUCACCGGACAAGAAUCCCACGAACCUUAAUGUGGUGCGAAAGUUUCAGGGAUGAUACGAUCGACCCAACUGUUAGCUUUGGAAUGCAUUUUGGGGUCGACUCAUGAAGACGACGGCUAGAUUGCACCAACAUUUGUAGCUUCUGUAUAAAUGAUUCAGAUUGUCUACAAGCAAGGAAAAUGAUUAUAGGGAAUAAAAAGGUAUGCGCUGCUCCAUAAUACCCAGUUAUUGUCAGCAAACUUGCUUGUACGCCAUGCAAGAACGACAGGUGGAUGAACAUGCAGUUCAACAAUGACAAUUCAGGCACUGACGCAGGAGACCUAGCGAUUUGACACCACAGACUCAAACCUAUGCCAGCGGCAUCGAGGAAGGUGUGGAGCUCCUGGCCUCCUGAGGACGCCGCCGGGCUCAUCGGAGCCCGACAUGGUUGCAGUAUAGAAGAAACCCUUACUCCCACAUGUGUCCCUUUUUUCCUCCGCGUUGCUUCUAUGGACCAAAACCCUAGCAAACUCCUCUCCAAGCACGCGAUUGAUUCCGUUCGUAUACAUAUGACGGUUUAAUGAUGAUGCAACAAAUUUCAUUUUAUAGUUUUGCUUGUGGAGGUGAUUGUCAUUGAAAAGCAUAAUUUUUUUAAUGGAUGUUACUUGCCAACUCGGAUGGCUCUUUAUAUAUUUAAAAUUGUUUGUAAACCA